rnacentral:rRNA from 1 species
GUCUACGGCCAUGACAUUGGGCAUGAGAACGUGCCCGAUCUCAUUGAUCUUGGAAGCUAAGCAGGGUUGGGCCUGCUUAGUACUUGGAUGGGAGACCACUUAGGAAUACCAGGUGCCGUAGGUG